rnacentral:lncRNA from 1 species
CUGUCCUCCUGGCAGUCAUUGUGGUGAACUUUUUCCUGGUUUAGUUCAGUCCCUGUAGAAGACUGAGCCAAGAACUUUGUCAUAUAGACCCAUUAGUAAUCAUCUGUUUCUCAGGCUAAUGGACUCGGUUUCUGUUAUGUCCUUUGACUGGAAACUCCCAGAGCCACGCCUGGAGGUUGAGCUCCAUGUAACAUCUGUUCUGGGAUGGUGCUGGAAAAAAAAAAAAAAUUGGACUGGAUUGAAAUGCAGCAUGAAUCAUAAGAGAAGUUUAGAAGCACAUGAAGAUGAAUGGGUCCCCAGUGACUCAACAGAGAACAUCUGGAGCAGGUCACAUUUUGAAGCUUUUCUGUGUAAUUAUUGGAGACUGAAAACUUCUUUAAAAACAAAAGUCCAGAUGAUUCUGUGUUCCUAAGACUCUACAAGCAAGAACAUCAGCAUCCUUGUUGCCCCAAAAAUGAAGAAAAGUUUUCAAGUACAUCUAAACAUUAUCUAACACCUGAGAGGAUGUCAAGGAGACGAAGUCAAUCUCAUCACAGUGGAAAGUCAAGAGAUUAUGGACAUGUGUUGAAACAAGAAAUUGUCAAAUGGGAUGUGAGAAAAAGCUUUUUCACCACAAGGACAGUGGAACAGAGGAAGAGGCUGCCCAGUGAAGAUUUCUCUCCAUGAGGCAUGAAAUGUGGGCUGCCCCCAGGUACGUACUUCAGCAGACAGCAGCUACUGCUAAAUAUGGGCACCCAGCUCUGCUGCCUGCCACCCUUCCUCUUCAGCAUGAUGAAUGCAGAACUGAUGUCUGAACAAUGGCUUAUCUUCAAAGUGGGGAUGGUUGCCCUCCCACACCAUCCCCUGCAUUGUUUAUAGCUGAUUGUUUAUAGUCCUGUGGUUAAAGCGUUUCCUGGGAGAUGUGGUUUUGCUUGCCUGCAAGACAGGAGCAUAUUACACUUACUUCAGCUUCCUAAUUGCCACUCAUCUAUUGUGUGAAAAAGGGAGGAAGAGAAUAAAUCCCAAUGGACUCAUAAAGAAAGGCAGCCACGUCUACAGAGGCCCUGAGAGUGUCUCCUGAGCAGCUUUCAGGGGACUGAGACUGACGUACUGCCGAGAAGGUGUUCCUGCCACUGAGAGCUCUUGGGAUGCUGUAGUGGUGCCUCCUCUGGACUGCUCAGGCACUUAAGGUCACAGUACGACAUCCACAGAGUUAAGGCAGAUGAGGUAACACUAGGUCAGAUGAGCUCAAGAUGCAGUUUUGACCCUUGGUAUUCAGUUCCUGGUACUUCAGACAUUUGUGAUUUUUUGCAUCUAGCCUCUUGAUAUAAUUGCCAUCUGAAGCAGGGAAGUAUUGGGGAGGGAAGUGCUGGAAAACAUUGGAAAUGCUGGGAAAUGUUGGAAAGAGAAGUGGAUGCACACUAAUACCUGAAGGUGUGUGGGUCAGUCUCCUGCUGACUUUAGGACUCUUGGAUGUCUCAGCUUAUUUACAUUGUGCUUGUGUACUCCUAAUCUUCUUCUAGUGUGACUCUACAUGAGAGGUUCAGUAAUGCAAACAGGGAAAGGUUUGGGGCAUCAUGCUGCCUUGGUGUUGCAACAAGACAUUUUUACCCCUCCUGAAAACCAAUGCAUAAUAUCAGGUCAAGGAGCCUGCCAGCUUUGCAUUCCACCCCCUUUGGUGAAUUUGUGAAUUGCUGGUCUAAACCUUUGUUCAUCAUCUAAUUUGUGGAACUGCAAAAAAGGCAAACUUCACACAGAUGCAGGCUUUGCAGACUUCCGUUAUUAUAAUAUGGGAUUUCCUGUACUGUCCAUUCAAACACUAUGUCCUUUAUAAAAAGCACACAGGAGGUAAUUUUUUCCAUAUUUUUCUUGUUUGGCUUCUAUCUGUUCUUCCCAGGCUGCGGCCCUGAGAACAUAAGUGUUUAGAGUGCAGGAGAGAGGGCUCCAGCAUUCCUCUUUUAAUAUUUAGUAUUUUAAAUGUUGCAUCAUUAUGCAUCCACCUUAAAAGAUUUUACCCCAGUAAAUUUCAGUUGAACUUCACUAAUAGACCAAAAGAAAAAAAAAAAAAAAAAAGAGGGUUUCUGUAAUCAGUGAAACUUUCCAUGGACAUUACAUAAGUUAAUAUUUUCUUACUCCUGCCUGAUUCAUUGUAGUUUUUAUUUUUCUUUUUAACUCUCCUGCAAUAUAAAAGCUUUUCUGAGGGGCAGAAAGACCCAGGUUCAUUCCUGUUCUAUGAUGUUGCAUUGAAGUAGGACCUGAGUGAUUCUUUUGCUCUACUGGCAUAUGUAUUCUUUGGUCCAUGGUGAGGUACAUGCCAUGAACUCGAGGUCCAUUACAUUUUAGUGCUUAUUAUCUUCCUUAAGAAGCUAUUAAAAUCCAGUGUAUUAAGUAAACUGGGACUGAAUGGAGUGAACAGGAACAUCUGCAUGUCUUAUGUUAUGACUCCCCUAGCAGUUAUCUACUGUGCUAUAUAGCUUAGAAAAUUCUCCCAAGCAUAUAGAUGGUGGAGAUCCAACAAGCUGGAACUGCUGGCUACAGCUGAAGUUUCAACAACUCAUUCUAUCUACAGCUGCCUUCAUCUGUUGCUGGCUUUAGGGAAGAAUACCAAGCAUCUUUAGAUUUCACAUGCUGAAGGAGGGACAGAAUUCCAAAGGAUACGAAACCAGAAAGAGACCAGAAAAAUAAAAUACAGAAAUAAAUUAUUAAAAAACAAACAAACAAACAAAAAAAAGAAUAAAAAAAGAAGAGGAAAUAUAAAUUCUAUGAGAAGACUGCAGAUGCAAAGUUUUAGAAUAGAAAAGUCGGUGAUGCCUUUUAAGUCUGUGGUGGGAUUCAUUGCAUGAAACUGUAUUUACUUUUGCAGAGUGAUCUUGAGUUCAGCCACCAUACUACAGUCUACCACUGUCAGAGAUAGAUUUAAACAUUUAUGCUAUUUGAGAAAAUGUGCUAACUUCAUGCAGAUAGAACUAUCGUGAUAGCGCUGAUCAACAAACCACAAAUACGUAUUUAAAACCAAAUUGUGCUCUCAUUUUUCCUCAGAACUUUAAAUAUUGUCUUUAGUUUUUGUGAAAAUACCUUACCUCAUGAAAGGAAAUAACUCACAAGUUUCUCAACCAGAAUGACAGCUCUCAAUUUGCUCAGUUUGGUGUUACUUUGUUGAUAGAUGUAUUAGAUCAGAGAGGGAGUCUCUAACUGUGCAGUCCUGUUUUAUUUGUAAAACAAAGCACAGUACUGAAAGGUAUUAGAGAGAGGAUUAUCAGGUUAAAUUGUACAUCAGUAUCAUUUGGCUGUCACUUCAGCUACUGCACCGCUCAUCCUACUCCUUUCACUGCACAAGAUUAGUCCAGGGAAUUGUAACCAUUUUCCCUCUGUUUCUUCAUUCUCCUCUGAUAAACUUCAUAUGAAUAAUAUUAAAUUAGCUUUAACAUUAAGUACUAACUGAUAAAUGAAGGCUGAAUUAGUUGGCUUUGAAUGAAAACCUUUGGGGUUUCAUCAGUCAGAAAAAUACAUGUCUUAUAUUGAUUUGUAGAACAAGGUGAUGCGUAUAUUCCAUUGCAUCUUUACUGGCAACGAGUUUUACUGCUCCAUUCAGGACUUAUAUAUCUGUGUAUGUUGGGGAUGGGGAUGGCCAUGGAGUAAAUCUUUGUCUUCUUCUCUAUUUCCAGUCGCAUCUCUAAACAUUUCAGGUCCAGGGGAUUGAAGUUUCCCUUCUCUGUUAAAAGCACCAUCAAAAUUAGAAACUAUUAGUAAUAUUACUAUAACUGUGAAGAUCUGAUGAAAUAAAAUAUCUAUUCACACAAAUCCUGUUUCAUGAUUAACUACAUUCUCUGCAAGUGGAUUUUCAUUGCUAGAGAAAAGUGAGAGUUGGCAACACGCUAGAGAAAUUGGAAUUUAUAUAAUUACCAGGAUUUAUUCAAGGGGUUGUGUUAUUGUUUGUGAUAAAUAUAUCUGCAUUCAGACCAUGAAUUUAUAGCGCAUGUUUCAUAAGCAAAAAACAUUUAUACAUAGCACAGAUCUCUCCUGGAUCAUCCCUGAUGUAUUAGGGUUUGACACCUAUGUUUCUUUGUGAUUUUAACAGUAUUAUAGUGCAUACCUGGAUACCAGCUCCAGAAGUAAUUUCUCACUUUAUGAUUAUGUUACUGUUCAGUAAAACAGAUUUGGUAAAAAGACAUUUGAAUUGUUCUAAAAAUCCAAAACCAAAGUGAGCACAACAGCCGCAACCUUCCUGCUAAACUCAGAAAAUCAUUUCAUCUCAAAGGGUGACAGCAAUAUACAUUAACUUUAUGAAAGGUUUCCUAGAGACAACAUGAAGCUACAGAGUAAGUCACACAUUUGCUCUGUAGUGUUUUGGUACAAAAUGCAAGGAAGUAAUUUGGAGUGUGAUAUUCUUGCUGUUCAUAGCAACCUUCUUAAUCUAUACCUCUUGCUUUGGAAUAAGUGAGCUGCCAGUUAAGGCCUAUUUAUUGGUCUUUUUCAUUUCACAGCUAAUUUCACACCGAGAUCACCCCACAGUCACAAAGAGCCCUUCUGACAUCUGGAUUGAGCUGGAGUGCAUAAGUAGUGCAGCCAGACUUUAGAGAUGGGGAAUUUCCAGCAAGACAGUUAAACUAAAUCUGCCCCAUGAAUUCACCUACAACAUCUCCCAGUCUUUACGGGUCCAAACGAGCACACAUCACUUUCCCAAAACUAUACUAUUCUUAGCAAUAACUGGAAAACUUCUUGAAUGGUCAUUCUGGUAACAGUGGAUUUUAUUCUUAACCAAACUAAAUCGAUUCUCUUAAACAAAUUCAGUUUUCAAUGGCUCCAUGAUACGCUCUUCCAAAGGAAGCUCUGCACUGUGACAGUAUUAUCUCCCUCUACUACAGCAGGUUUGCAUCUACGGCAUGAUCCAUGUUUCCACGAGGAAAAGCUGGAGAAGCUACUUCAUAGCAGCCUUUUUUAAGCACAUAACAUUUUGCUCAGGGAGACCAUAGAAUACUGUUAUCCUUUACCUCAUUCAGAUAGGGAACAAAGGAAUACAGGACUGUGUUUUUCCUUUGUAUUACAAAGGAAAACAGGACUGAAGUGGUAAAUUCACAGCUGUGGCCCGUGAUAGUUCAGCCUUGGGAAUCCAUGUAUGUACAUCUUAUGAACUGCUGUUGAGAUUUAAAAUGUACAUCUUACGAAUUGCUGUUAAGAUUUAGACAUCCUUAGUGAUUAUUAUAGUAACUCCUGCACUUCUUCCUAAACUGCUCGUGCCAUCCAUGUCUGUAUUUAUGAUUAACAGAUAUUAAUAGAUAUCUGUACACUGAGCCUGUAUCAAACAAAGGAAAGGAGUACUUCACAAAACUCAUUUUUAUGUGAGUUCUCCUCAGGAGGGAUGGAUUUGUCCCAGUUACUUUCUUCUCAGGGGAAAAGCGAAGAACUUUAAAAACAUAUUGACCAAGUUAGCCACACAUAAAAUGACUUUGGAGUCAGAAAGAAGAAAGGAACUUUUAAUUAUAAAUCAAAGGGACUCCACCAACUUCAGAGCAAACCAAAACUGGAGGAAAAGCUGAGAGAAACUCCAUGUUGUAGAGAAACUGAGUCUAGCUAAGGGACAUUGGAAAGAUCCUGCCCAUAUAUUGCUCAGAAGUGCUCAGAAAAGAUUGAUGAGGUAGAGAUGAAAGAGUUUGGUUCCUUUUUAUUUUUGAUGGUUUGGUUUUGUUGCCUUUUAGUUAUUUGCGGUUGUUGGCGGUUUCUUUUCCCCCACAUCUGUGAAUAUCUUAUUUUGCUUGGUGAUGGCUUACUAUUACAAAAGCUCUAUCUGCAGUCCUCAACUAUUUGCCUGUGGAAAACUGAAUUUUAAAUUAAAGUGCCAGAAGGUUAGGAGAUAUGGAAAGGAUAAGCUUAAACUAGUAGGCAACUUCAGAACAAAAUUUUAGUACAAGAAUUUUCUCUACAAAAAUUGAGGUCCGGAAGAAGUGUCAAGAUUAUCAGACUUAAAUGAAGUAAUCCAGUAUAUGAUAUUCGCAAAAAUGAGCCUAUUGAGUGGCUGGCCAAAGAAUCUUAACUAAUCUUUGCUCCACAGGGGUCACAGUGAUUUUAUAAGUGCCGCUCUUUGGUUUGUGUGGGUGGUAGAUGGUUUUCACCAAGCUGUAAACAUUCUAAACUGCAUAGAGAUUGACUUCUAGAAAAAUAUGCAUGAAAGAAUACAAAGUUUGAAGGGCAAUAGCACACAAGAAAUUAUUUUACUGCUCUAUAUUUUCCCCUUGCCCUCCUCUAUCACUGACAGUUUUUUAAUCAAUGAGUUACUCUUAGCUGUUUGCUAAGAAUCUACUAAAUGACAUCCUGCAAAAUUUGGAGAAAAUCAGAAACUCAGUGAGCUAAGUUUAGUUCCAUUCCAUUUACUUUUGCUCAUAAGCAUCUUUCAUUGUGUGUCUCUCACUUAGUGCUCUAAAUGUUCCAAGGCUGUUUAACAAAGAAAAGCUUCACUUAGCACAUACACAAUGAAGGCACAUUUGUAUCCUUUCAGUUUUUUCCAGAAAGUUGAUGCCACUUGAUGGUGGUUACAUAUAAUAAUAUCUGUCUCUGGUUGGAUUUAACAUCAAAAUGUGUAAAGUAGCAUGAACAUCUGAUUAACAUAUGGAAAUAUUUUUUAAAUAAGGCUUGCUUUUCAAGUGCUGAAAGUUUCACAGCCUUUUAUGACAGCGUUUUAUGAUGCUGUGGUAGCAGUUCCAUGGUUAGAAUUAUAAUCUGCUUCCACAUUUCGUUUUUUAAACCCCAGACCUUCUCUAUCUCAGUUUUGAAAAACAAAAUUAUUGAGUAUGACAUUUUUCAUGUGUGGUCUUCAACAAGAGACAGAAUGUACUUAUGAGAAAAAUCAGAUGUGAUACAGGAAAAUGUGAAAUUUUGCAUAAUCAACCAUUUUUUUCUUUUGAAAAAUCUUCAAAGUUACAGCGAUGAACACAGAUCGCUGUUUACUCAUGCAAGGAACACUGGAUCGUACAGUCUAUUCUAAAGAAAAAAAUUGAAAAAGAUCAUACCCUAAUAUAAUCAUUGAAGUUUUAUGAUUAUAUUUAUCAAAACUUCAACACGGAGUGGCCAGUAAAAAAAAAAACAAAAACAACAACAACAACAACAACAAAAACCCAGCACCUUCUGAUUUCAUUUUUACACCUUUUAAUAAAUACUCAUUUUCAGUCAAGUAUUGCUGUUUCAAGUGAAUAGAAUAGGUUAUAAAACUUUGUUUGCUUUCCCUCAGCUGAACUCAAAGCUGUGGCAGACCAAGCAGUCUUAGGCUAUUCUCCCUGAGAUGCUCAUUUUGCUCUAAGCUCGGAUGGAGGUGAAACAUUUUCAGCAGCUCACUUACUGAGUUUUGGUGUCUAUUUACAGAAAUGAACAGAUAGAAAAAAAGUGCAUUAAAGAAAUGGCAGGGAAAGUGUAAAACUAAGUGUAGAAUGGAAAGGAAAAAAUGCUAUACAAUAAAACUCAGUGUAGAAAAGGAUUCAAAUAUGUGUCUUUUGCAAGAGCAAGAUAUUAUGUUUCUUAGGUAACCCUUCACUUUCCUGACAUUCCUUUCAUUUCCACACCAGAAUGUAUGAAGUACUGUCAAAUGGGUCUUAAAUAUCUCCAGAAAAGGAGACUCCAGGACAAGUAAAGAAGUUCUUUCUUAUGUUCAGAUGGAACCUUUUAUGUUCCAGUUUAUGCUUGUCGUCCCUUGUGCUGUUGUUGAGCACCACUGAAAUGAGCUCUUUGACACCUAUCCUUUAAAUAUUUAUGUGUUGAUAAGAUCCUCCCUAUGUCUUCUCUUCUCCAGGCUGAACAGUCUCAGAUCUCUCAACCUUUUCUCAUACAGGAGAUACUCCACAUCCCUCAUCAUCUUUGUGACCCUCUGCCGGACAUUCUCUGGAAGUUCCUUUUCUUGAACUGGGGAGCCCAGAACUGAAUGUAGUACACAAGAUGUGGCCUCACCAGGGCAGAGUAGAGGGGAAGGAUCACCUCCCUUGACCUGCUGACAGUGCUCUUUAUUGCACCCUGGGAUACCAUUGGCCUUUUUGUCCACAAGGGCACACUGCUGGCUCAUGGUCUCCCAGUCAAUCUGAAGAGACACUUUCAGAGGGCAAUAUAUUCCACCUUAAGAAAGUUCUCUAAAAUAAGUAUUUCAGAUUAUUACAAAAAUAAAAAAAGAAAAUUCAAACAAGAAAACAGCCAUUAAAUACUCUAAGCAAUUCCUAUACAGUUGCUAUAAACUUGUUGCUUAUAGCUUAAUUACUAGAGUACUGUGAACAAAUAUCACAGUAAGAUUCGUUUCCACAAAUGCACUUUUCUCUUAUUCUGAAUUAAAGGUUUAACAUAUAUGUCUGUUUUCCCCAAAAUAUUUUGUUUAUUAUCACACUGUUUUUAAUAUUGGCAAGUUGCGCUCAGUUCCAAUUAAAACCUGACCCUGUGUCUGCCUAGGUAUUUUGACACAAAGCUCAGUCAGAGUAGAUCUACUUCUCUGUCUGGUCUAAUAUUCAGAUAUCUAACUGACAGCACAGGCUUCCACACAAGAUGCCAUUGUCCAAAUCAGAUACCAUUAUCCAAAACAGAUGCUGUUCCACACCAGCCCUCCAUUCAUUGUGACCCAGGGCAAUCCUACAAGGUAAGAAAAUAAGAAUAGGAUCAAUGGAACCCAAACACAGAUAUUUAUCUCCUAUUACUGAUUUGCAGAGACAGUAAAGACAUUACAGAAAAUAUAAGAGCAUGAUCUCAGAGGGAGUAUACAAGGUACGAAUAGUUUUAUCUACUGUGUACUUGAAAUCUCCAACAGCUGAAGUCCAGGGUUUGGCCUGGAGCUUUCAGAAGGAAACAAGUUGCAAAAGAAAGCCCAGAACAGAUAAAUCUGUAAGAAGCGCUACUGUGGCUCUGCGCCACUCUGUCCUCAUCACAGAGCUUUUUGGACAGAAAGGAAUCAAGUAAGGGAACUCCUUUCAGACUAAUUCCCCUAGCACAUACAUCAUUCUGUCACCGAAAACUAUUGUGUAAUCCAGGCCAUUUUCAAUCUGAUGGCUGCACUACAGUUCUAAGCUUGUUUAUUUCUGUACAAAGUGUGAGACACAUAAUCACCAUUUCUGUGACUUUUUUGAAAAAUUGUUAAUUUCUGUGAACAUGUGGAACCAUCAGCUGUGUGUGAAACAAACUGAACAUUAUUAUGCCUAGUUUAUUUGAUCACAUGCUCUCUGGAAUUUCCAACCCUGCAAGAAACUGUUGCUUAUUAGAGUCACUUGAUUCUGUGGCAUGGUUUUGGUAGCAGGAGGUCUCUGUGAGGAGACCAGGAGCUCAUAUCCUGUCAGUUAGAAGCAGUUCCAGUCAGCUCAUAACUGACUAAGAGAAAAUGUGUGAAUACACUGUUAUGAUCACUGUUUACCAGUUUCAAAGAUAGAAGCUACUACAACCCAUUAAGCCUGUGUUUGCUUCUCUUUCCAAGUUUUAUAUAAACCACUAUGUUAUACCCAUUCUUACUGCCAGUACAAGGAAGAUUGAAUUAAAAAAGUAUAUAUACUUUAGGGGAUUUAAUAGCUAAAUGGGGUUCAUGUAUGAGAUGAACUGAUGUUGAAAAACAUGGGCUGGCUUAUGCUGGCAACUUAACUUUACUAAGCAGUUUAGUUCUUUGCAGGGAUAUCUGUUUACCAACAUUUGUCUAUGAUUGUUCUUGAUUAGAGGGGGUGGAGAGACAUUAAUCACAAAGUUGUAUCACAGAAACACAGUAGUAUGGAGGUGGAAGAAACUCUGGGGAUUAUCAAGUCCAAUCUCCCUGCUAGAAUGGAAGUAGAUUUCAUAAAGUAGAUUACAAUAGCUCUGGAUAAGUUAAGGUUAGAAACUAUUAUCUAUAAAAAAUAGACAGUAUGAUGAGAGGUCCCAGAGGUCCAAGGCUAACAUAACUUUGGAAAACAGUAAGACCUCUGACGUGGGUCCUUCUGUGGGCAUGAAAACGCACAUUUCACAGAAAAUCUCAGCUAUCCUAGUGGAUGAUGGGUGUAUCAAUUCUAAAGGGCAGUUAUAAUGCUCCAGAAGCUUGCAGAGAGGAGAUGGACCACAAAGUAUUUGUUCACAUAACAUAUUCAUGCACUACUGAUUGUGAACAAUAUGUGCCUGAGCUCCUCUGCAGAGAAAAACUAACAAAGUCUCU